GGAGUUUGGACCGUGUCUCAGUUCCAAUGUGGGGGACCUUCCUCUCAGAACCCCUACUGAUCGCGGGCUCGGUGGGCCGUUACCCCGCCGACAACCUAAUCAGACGCAUCCCCAUCCCAUAGCGAUCAAUCUUUGCUUGACGUUAGAUGUCUGCUGUCAAGAACAUAGGGAAUUAAUCCGACUUUCGCCGGGCUGUGCCCUACUACGGGGAAGGUUGGAUACGCGUUACUCACCCGUGCGCCGGUCGCCAUCAUCGGUUGCAAGCAACCGACAUGCUGCCCCUCGACUUGCAUGUGUUAAGCCUGUAGCUAGCGUCCAUC
rnacentral:rRNA from 1 species